rnacentral:snRNA from 1 species
AUACUUACCUGGCAGGGGAGAUACCAUGAUCACGAAGGUGGUUUUCCCAGGGCGAGGCUUAUCCAUUGCAUUCCAGAUGUGCCGACCCCUGCGAUUUCCCCAAACGUGGGAAACCUAACUGCAUAAUUUGUUGUAGUGGGGGACUGCGUUCGUGCUCUCCCCUG